AGCAUUAAAUGGAAAUGAGAGAACACAGAACAGACAAGAAUCAUCCGAUGUAAGUCUUAUACUCCAGGGAACAUCCGAAAAAGCAACAGCCAUCUUCUAUAGCAGAAGCAAUGGUAUUAGAUACAGAAGCAGCUGUUAUAGCGAAUUUUGAAUUUUUGGGACAUACAGACAUGACAUGGAAGAGGAAGA